UCCUCCAAAUCUCUGCUCUCCCUGUUCCUCCUGCCCUGCUCGCUGCGUGUGUGGUUCUGUGUGCACCGUGCGUCGUGCCUCGCAUGCCUCAUAUGCGGUUGGUGCGAGAAAGCAAUCCUAGAGCCCUCCCUCCUCCUUUCCAUCCACUCAUGUCAUGCCUCCUCCCCUUUCUCCCUAGCCGACGGUGGCUCCUCCCCGUGUGCCCACGGUCUCCAAUGCGCUCAACCCGGCCCACCUCAGUCCCCUCACCCUCUGGUCACCGUCCUCCCGUGCCCUCACCCGCUGGUGGCCCUCCCAUGCAUCUCGGGCUUGAUGGCUGCUUCCCCACCUCGCCCAUUCAGCUCCGCCAUCGCCUCCCUCCCUUGCUGAUAUCCAUCUUAUCUCCUUUUGCAGGGGCUUGUCCUUCCGUGGUGGUCAUACGCCGUUUGAGAUUGGAGGGAGACUAGGAGACCCUGGCGGAAGCGAGCCUGCUAGCAGAGGCUCCAGGGAUGCUGGGUGAUAGGGCCUAGUCCAUGCCCCGGUUGUGCUGCUGGGUGAUCUUAUUCAUCCUUCUUGUCAACGAGUUGUUCAUGUCUAGCGAGGAUUUUUAGGACGAGCCUUCCUAUCUAAAAUUAUCGGAUAAAUUCAACAUAUCUGUGGAAAUCUAGUUUUCUGCAGAUUCAUACGACUCUGAAUGUUAUUCCAUAACCGAUGACUCAAAGUGAUUAUACACUGAAACCGAAGCCUUUGGAAAAUGAAACAGAAACCUUACUUGAGAGCAGGCAGAGGCGUGGAACCAAUGGUGAUGUUGUUGUUGCCUGCUCUUCUAAACUGCUGCUUGUUCAUCGUUUGCUGUUUUGCCUAUCAAGCAGGAAGGUAACUACUCAAAGCAGUUGGCAAGACAAGCAUUCGAUGGAGCUCAAGCGUUGAUCUUGAAGGAAGGUAACUACUCAAAGGCAAAUAAAGAGAAGGCAGAUGUAUUGUUUUUUCUGGAGUACGGGAUAUGUAUUGUUACGAGUGAAGCCAUCCAUACAAGUCGGUAUAUUAAUAACCCCAUAUGUGGAAUUCAAGAUAUAGAGAAAUGUUCUUGUUCUGCUAAUCGGUUGCUUUACCAAAUGUACUGUAAAUGACGUUAUUAUUGUUCAAGAUAUAGAUAAAUGUUAUUGUUCUUCAUUGUAGUGGAUGAUAUCCAUUCCAAUUAUUGAGAUGAUGGAAGCACCACUUAGGAGUUUUGUCUCUGACCUAACGAAGCUGUUGAGGAAGAAGGGAUAAAUAAGUGCUGAGAAGACGGGAUAACUUAUCAAAUUCAGUUUGGUAUUACCCAUCAACAAGCUAACCGUGCUACUGGUGAAGGCUCAGUAGGCUCGCAAUCGCAGCGGAGCAUAGGGGUCUGGCACACGAAAGACGUGGUGUGGAGCUGGAUACUCUUUGUUGCGUUUGCGGGCGUCUGCUUGAAGUUGGCGGCCACCUUUUCCUUCGCUGUAAGGAAGUCAAAAAAGUUUGGCGAACCACCCAGCUAGAGGGUGUGAGACAGGAGCUGCUUUUAUGUCAAUCUCAGUUGGAGAUUCUUGAGCGUAUUUUUUGCACAACCGGAAAACAUCAAGCUUCAGGUCAUAUGCCUAUUGUGGAAGUGGUGGACUGAGGAAUAAUGGCAUGUUGAACGCAGACUAAGGCCUGAAGAAUUUAGUGCACAACUGUCUUUUGAUGUUGCUGAAUGGUGCCAGUUUUUUACGCCCUCUCCAAAGCCUGUUAUACAGGAUACGAGCAAGUGGAAGCCGCCACCUGACUUCGUCAAGAUCAACCUGGACGGUGCAUACUAUCCGGAAUCUGGUACGGGAGGUUGGGGCUGCAUUGCUAGAGCGCCGGACGGAGAUAUCCUAUUCGCAGCCGCUGGACCGCUCAGUAACUUGUCUGAACCGUUACAGGCUGAAAGCAAUGCGUUUUUGAAGGCGAUCGACCUUUCGGAAAAUUUGCCAUGGGCAAAGUCAUCUUUGAAACGGAUUGUCUAAAUCUGAAACAGGAUGUGUGUUCGGACGCCUGUGACGGCGCAGCUCUAAGAGCUUUAUUCAGAGAAGAAAAAUAUCAUCUCCGUUUGGGUUUCAUCGAGUACCGAGUGGAGUUCUCUCCCCGAAACUGUAACACACCAGCGCAUGUGCUAGCAAGUCUCGAUUCUCGGGAAGUUCAAAGUGACCAUACUCUGUGGAUUACCAAUUUUCCUGCUGAUGUAACCCGUGCAGUGGCCGGCGAUCUUGCCGCGACCACAUGUUAAUGGAAUGCAAGGUGUUUCAUAUAAAAAAA